rnacentral:tRNA from 1 species
GGAUGGAGCAGUGGUAGCUUGCUGGGCUCAUAACCCAGAAGUCUGGGGGUUCGACUCCCUCUCCCCCA